UCUAAACRACUCUCGGCAACGGAUAUYUCGGCUCUCGCAUCGAURAARAACGUASCGAAAUGCGAUACUUGGUGUGAAUUGCARAAUCCCGUGAACCAUCGAGUCUUUGAACGCAAGUUGCGCCCRAAGCCUUUCGGCCGAGGGCACGCCUGCCUGGGSGUCACG
rnacentral:rRNA from 1 species